UUCCACGUUACAGACUGAACCUGAGUCCCUGGCAAAAGAGUCGAAAAUAUGGAGCCGAAGUGCUUGUCAACUUCCUUUAAAACAGGUGGAUAACACGGUAAAGAGACGCUGCGCAAUACUUUUAUGGACUCGUAGAUGGUCUCUCUGUCUUUCUCGACAAUGGACUUCUUUUUCAGUAGGGCAUUAUUCUCGGCCUCGACCUCCUCAAACCGCGUAAUGACCUAGUGGAAAGCCCGCUAUAGCCCUUAAGCACAACGAUGCGCUUUGAGCUUUACUUUGGAAUUCAAGAAAGGGAUUAAAUAAGCCUAAGGGGAGAGACCGCAAAGUCGUACGGCCCACCGUGGAUACCAAAGUUAUUUCUUUCGUCCACGAUCCAGGAGUACUUCCUCUCCAAUGCUUU